GUAACUGGUGUUGUGCGAUAAAGAACAUGUCAAUGCUAAGUCUCUUAUGCGCAUAUAGGCCCUCUGUCAAUAUGAAACUGAUCAUGCUUGUUGGUAUGAAUGUGGACUGGAUAAACUGGGAUAGUAUAUAUACCUUGAAUGAUGCUUGCUUUGGUUAGAGGUUGCAGUCGGACCAAAAGACGCGGCAGAUCGAACUGAAAAAUGACAAGUAUAUGUGGUUGCUUAAUGAAUGCAGGUGAAUAUCAAGGUGGGGGUGGACGAAUUUACACAAGGUCUCACCUUGAACUUGGCAGGGCACCGAAUGAAGAGCUCCUUCCUGUUUUGCUAGAAACCUUAAGUGUGGAAUGAGAAUGAAGUUCUUGUUUGCAAAGAGAGGUAAAAAGGGAGGAGGGCUGUAUUGUUGGGGUGCGAGAAUGCAGCAGGCUCAAGAGAAGUUAGGGGAGUGUGCAGCACAUGUCUCCACCCCCUUUUCCUUUUCCCAUUUUCUUGAACUUAGGGGGGGUGGCAGGUGGUGGAGUAGGAAAGUGGUAGAGUGUAAACCGUAA
rnacentral:lncRNA from 1 species